rnacentral:misc_RNA from 1 species
GAUGAAGAACGUAGCGAAAUGCGAUAAGUAAUGUGAAUUGCAGAAUUCAGUGAAUCAUCGAAUCUUUGAACGCACCUUGCGCUCCUUGGUAUUCCGAGGAGCAUGCCUGUUUGAGUGUCAUUAAUAUAUCAACCUCUUCAGCUUAUGCUUGUUGAGUGUUGGAUGGUGGGGGUUUGCUGGUGUCUUAUGAAGUCAGCUCCUCUGAAAUGCAUUAGCGGAACAAUUUGUUGACCGUUCAUUGGUGUGAUAAAAAUAUCUACGCUAUUGACGUCAGUCAGUUCAGCUUCUAACAGUCCAUUGACUUGGACAAAUUUUCCAUUAAUGUGACCUCAAAUCAGGUAGGACUACCCGCUGAACUUAAGCAUAUCAAUAAGCGGAGGA